AUGAACAAGGUGAAGAGCCAUGGCAGCAAGGACAAGGGGUCAGGCGGAGGAGGGUUUUGCAGGAUGCUGAGGCAGCACAAGGCCAGGCUCUACAUCAUCCGGCGAUGCGUUGUCAUGCUCAUCUGCUGCCAUGACUGA
rnacentral:rRNA from 1 species